rnacentral:rRNA from 1 species
CCCGCUGAACUUAAGCAUAUCAAUAAGCGGAGGAAAAGAAACUAACAAGGAUUCCCCUAGUAACGGCGAGUGAAGCGGGAACAGCUCAAAUUUGAAACCUGGCGUCCUUAGGGCGUCCGGAUUGUAUUCUAGAGAAGCGUCUUCCACGCUGGUCCACGUAUAAGUGCCCUGGAACGGGCUGUCAUAGAGGGUGAGAAUCCCGUCCUUGACGUGGGCUACCAGUGUUUUUGUGAUGCGCUUUCUAAGAGUCGAGUUGUUUGGGAAUGCAGCUCAAAAUGGGUGGUAAAUUCCAUCUAAAGCUAAAUAUUGGCCUGAGACCGAUAGCGAACAAGUACCGUGAGGGAAAGAUGAAAAGCACUUUGAAAAGAGAGUCAAACAGUACGUGAAAUUGCUGAAAGGGAAACGCUUGAAGUCAGUCGCGCCCCCUGGAAUUCAGCCCUGCUUUUGUAGGGUGUACUUUCCAGGGGGCGGGCCAACAUCAGUUUUGACCGGCAGAUAAAGGCUGGGGGAAUGUGGCUCCUUCGGGAGUGUUAUAGCCCUUUGUUGUAUACAACGGUUGGGAUUGAGGACCGCAGCACGCCUUCAUGGCCGGGGUUCGCCCACGUACGUGCUUAGGAUGUUGGCAUAAUGGCUUUAAGCGACCCGUCUUGAAACACGG